rnacentral:rRNA from 1 species
AGAGUUUGAUCAUGGCUCAGAACGAACGCUGGCGGCAGGCUUAACACAUGCAAGUCGAACGAUGUAGCAAUACAUAGUGGCGCACGGGUGAGUAACGCGUGGGAAUAUACCUUAUAGUGGGGAAUAACUUUGGGAAACUAAAGCUAAUACCGCAUACGCCCGAGAGGGGAAAGAUUUAUCGCUAUAAGAUUAGCCCGCGUGAGAUUAGGUAGUUGGUGGGGUAAUGGCCCACCAAGCCUACGAUCUCUAGCUGGUCUGAGAGGAUGAUCAGCCACACUGGAACUGAGACACGGUCCAGACUCCUACGGGAGGCAGCAGUGGGGAAUAUUGGGCAAUGGAGGAAACUCUGACCCAGCCAUGCCGCGUGGAUGAUGAAGGCCUUAGGGCUGUAAAGUUCUUUCGCCGAUGAAGAUAAUGACGGUAGUCGGAGAAGAAGCCCCGGCUAACUUCGUGCCAGCAGCCGCGGUAAUACGAAGGGGGCUAGCGUUGUUCGGAAUUACUGGGCGUAAAGCGAGCGUAGGUUGCUCGAUAAGUCAGUGGUGAAAGCCCAGAGCUCAACUCUGGAACUGCCAUUGAAACUGUCGAGCUGGAAUCUCAGAGGGGGUAGCGGAAUUCCAAAUGUAGGGGUGAAAUCCGUAGAUAUUUGGAGGAACACCGGUGGCGAAGGCGGCUACCUGGAUGAGUAUUGACACUGAGGCUCGAAAGCGUGGGGAUCAAACAGGAUUAGAUACCCCGGUAGUCC